UACGUAGGGUGCAAGCGUUGUCCGGAAUUAUUGGGCGUAAAGAGCUCGUAGGCGGUUUGUCGCGUCGACUGUGAAAACCCGCGGCUCAACUGCGGGCCUGCAGCCGAUACGGGCAGGCUAGAGUUCGGUAGGGGAGACUGGAAUUCCUGGUGUAGCGGUGAAAUGCGCAGAUAUCAGGAGGAACACCGGUGGCGAAGGCGGGUCUCUGGGCCGAUACUGACGCUGAGGAGCGAAAGCGUGGGGAGCGAACAGG
rnacentral:rRNA from 1 species